rnacentral:rRNA from 1 species
AACGAACGCUGGCGGCAUGCCUAACACAUGCAAGUCGAACGAGACCUUCGGGUCUAGUGGCGCACGGGUGCGUAACGCGUGGGAACCUGCCCUUAGGUUCGGAAUAACUCCCCGAAAGGGGUGCCAAUACCGGAUAAUGUCUUCGGACCAAAGAUUUAUCGCCUUUGGAUGGGCCCGCGUUGGAUUAGCUAGUUGGUAGGGUAAAAGCCUACCAAGGCGACGAUCCAUAGCUGGUCUGAGAGGAUGAUCAGCCACACUGGGACUGAGACACGGCCCAGACUCCUACGGGAGGCAGCAGUGGGGAAUAUUGGACAAUGGGCGAAAGCCUGAUCCAGCAAUGCCGCGUGAGUGAUGAAGGCCUUAGGGUUGUAAAGCUCUUUUACCCGGGAUGAUAAUGACAGUACCGGCAGAAUAAGCUCCGGCUAACUCCGUG